GUGGAGGAGCAAGCUGAAUGUCAUCACUGGCAGAAGUAGGGAGAACAGGCAGCAGGCAGGCUGGUAGUUAGCAUGGAGAUCACGAAGUCUGCUUUCCCUGAGUGCUCUGGGCGAAAACACAAGAACAGCUCAGAAAUGCUGGUGUCAUUCCUCCCCUGGUAGGAAUGACCGGAAGGAGUGAGGGUGUUAACAAACGUAAGGCAGACUGCAAGUGCAAAAGCUGCAUCUGUACUUGCUAUCAAGGUAACAGAGUUCCUGUCACACUGUCUGCAGGACUGCAUAGCUACAGAUAAUAGGAGAGCAACAGCACAGCAAAAUAAGAAAGGAGAGACACAGACUACUGCUGCAUACAUUUUUCUAUAUAAUACCCAUUGUGGGAAAAAGCUACCUAUAAGUCUCAUAAUUCCUGAUAAACCAAUUGGAAACUAUGAAUGGGAAUGAAUGUAUGCAGCAUGUAAGAUUUUGAAAUUUGGACCAAAAAAGCCAUCAUCACCACAAAUAUGAAAGAAAACUUCUUUGCUCAAAUGAAAAUUUCAAUAUGGUAUUUCCAGAAGUAAAAUGCAUGGAAUGCAACAACAAUAUGCAAGACGGUUUAGCUUUUCACUUAAACUUCUGAAUUGCUGUUCAAUUUCUACAGUGGAAUUCUCCCAAGAUUUUAAGAUACGAUAUUGAACUUAUUACAUAGCACGAGAAUGUGCAACCUACAGUUAGAAAUGCAAGAAAGAGUUUAUCUCCUACCUGGAAAUAAAAUAGUUAACAGUGAUAAAAGCCUUAACAACAGAAGCCAGAUAAUUAAUGGAAAUUUACUCCUGGACUCGAGUGGUUGUGGCUGGCUGAAACAUUCAACAAUAAGAAUGACUCAACUCUCCCUAAGGAGCAUGACAUCUCUGAUUAUUAUUGAUAAAUAUGGUCUUGUCCUGGGCUGAGCUUACAAUUUACUUCAACAGAAGAGAAAAAUCUUUUUGAAAAUUAAAUUAUACCAGCCUCCACUCUGUGCAUUCUGCAUUGUAUGCACGUAUGCACUCCCAAAGGACAUGCUGUAUUACUAGGCAUCCAACUCAAUGUCCCAAUAAAAAAAAUAAAGGAGGCCACGUGUGCUUAAAGGAUUGGGCCCAGGCAUAUGAUGCUUCUUUGCAUUGGAAUAAAGUGGAAUGUCUUGUCCAUGUUAUCACUGCUUAUUAGUAGUAAUGGUGUAUUAUUAAUAAAUGCUUAUGUGAAAAAGAGUGUCAUAUUUACCAUCUUUUCAACACUACAUCAAAGAUUCCUCUUUCCUUCAAACAAAAUAAAUGAGUAUUAAAAUAAAAUACUGAAGAAAAAAAUGUCCAUAUCAAUACUGUACUGGAAAUAAAGCC